rnacentral:rRNA from 1 species
GACGAACGCUGGCGGCGUGCUUAACACAUGCAAGUCGUACGGUCAGGCCCUUUCGGGGGUCCACGAGUGGCAACCGCGUGCGUAACACGUGAGUAAACUUCCCACACCUUUGGGAUAACGCUAAGAAACUGGUGCUGAUACUAAAUAUGUGCUACUGCUGCAUGGGCGGGGUUGGAAAGCUCCGGGGGUUGUGGCUGGACUCGCUGCCUAUCCGCUUGUUGGUGGGGUAGUGGGGUACCAAGGCGGCGACGGGUAGCCAGACUGAGAGGGUGACCGGCCAUACUGGGACCGAGAUACGGCAGCGAUAGCGACGGGAGGGAGCAGGGGGGAAGAUUGAACAAUCGGCGCAAGGUGGAUGCAGCAGCGCCGCGGGUGGGAUGACUGUGUUCGGGGUGUAAAACGCUUGCAGAAGUGACGAUGCAUGUUGUGACGGUACCUGCAGAAGAAGCACCGGCUAACUACGUG